GACGAACGCUGGCGGCGUGCCUAACACAUGCAAGUCGAGCGGGGGACUUCGGUCCCCAGCGGCGGACGGGUGAGUAACACGUGAGCAACCUGCCUCAUAGAGGGGGAUAGCCUCCCGAAAGGGAGAUUAAUACCGCAUAUACUCUUGGCAUCACAUGAUGCUUAGAGGAAAGGAGAAAUCCGCUAUGAGAUGGGCUCGCGGCGCAUUAGCUAGUUGGUGAGGUAACGGCUCACCAAGGCCACGAUGCGUAGCCGACCUGAGAGGGUGAUCGGCCACAUUGGAACUGAGAUACGGUCCAGACUCCUACGGGUGGCAG
rnacentral:rRNA from 1 species